CAGAGAAGAAAUGUUCCUUCUCUUCCCUCUCUUCCUCUUCUCCCUAUUCGCCUUCUCUCUCUUCCCUCUCUUUCUCUUCUUUCUUCUCUCUUCCCUCUCUUCGUCUUCUCCCUAUUCGUCUUCCUCCUUCAUCUUCUUCUUCCUUCUCCAUCUCCUUCUUCAUUGUUAUUAUUGAGUUUCAGACAUGUUCGAUUUUGAUUUUGAUUUGGUGUUUGUUGUUUCAGGUUUGGUGGUGUUGACUCACGCGGAAGAGGGAAGUUUCGCCGACGGUGCGGUUAUCUGAACAUAAGGUGAGCAUCUUCUUCUUCAGAUCUGGGGUUUUUUGUUGUUACUAAGUGGUGAUGAAGAGGGUUUUGAUGUUCUCGGUUUACUGAUGUGUUGAAGGAUAUGAAGGUGAUGUUAUGGUUCCAGAACUUUGGUGAGAUUUUUCUGAUUUUUGUUCUUUGUGUUUUUGGAUCUACGGAUCUAUUGUCUUUUUUUCUUCUUCUACAAAAAUUUCUAAAGGAUUUUAUGUAUUUGGAAAAUGACGGUAACAUUUAGGGUUUCAUUAUGAUCUCUGUGGCUAUGGCUGUGUGUUUGUGUGAACAGUUAUUGUUUUCGCAACAAUUUGAGAAGGGUUUCUGGAAAAUGAAGAAUGAAAAUCUUAGGGUUUCAUUGUUUGUUUCUCUGUGGCUGAUUUCGGGUGAACAGUGGUCUCUGAGGUAUGGACAACUCAAAGUUUCAGUUUCCCGAUUUAAGGCAUGUCUGAGCUUGCCCUCCAUAUGUUUGAUGAAAAGCAGGAAUGACACAGUGGUUGUCGUUGCUGCGUUUCAUGGUCUGAGGUUUGAAAGACCCGGUCAGGUUUGAGAGCAGUAGAGCACGGGAUGAUAUUGAUAUUCGAAUUAAAACCUGUUGCAGUGCGAAAAGGAUCAUUCAAACCAGAAUAAUACAUGAGUCACACUACCAUCGGCGACAAGGAACGAUAAGAAAUUUUCUACUGGAUUCUUAAAGGUUCAUGGAAGGUGAAGGUGAAAUCUUGUGAAGCUCAUGUGUUUGGAAAGGCAAAGACAAACACAGACUACUUACCAUACAAUGGAGAUGGAUUCAAACGGUUGGUGCCAGCAAAGUGGAAUCCAAGCAAAGAAAUUCAUAAAUGAUUCUAGAAAUUAAAAGUGCACUUAUUUAUGAUAUAAAUCCAAAAGCUCUAAUAGUAGUACUAUGAUAGAAGAUUUAUAUAUAAUUGUAGGGUUAUUUUAGAAUUUUGUUUAUUAUUAUGGUGAAAUGAAAUUCUUUUGCAUGUGUUUGUUGAUAUUAUUGUUGAAGUAUUGAAGGGUAGUGAGUGAUUGUUGGUGUGACUCAUUAGGUAUGUUUUUUGUUUUGUUUUGUUUAUGAAUUAGAUGUCGGAGAAGUUCAACCAGGAGGUGUCGUUGUCGGGGAAGAUUCCGACGGGCCAUUUCAAUUCUGCGUUUCAGUUUUCAGGAGUUUGGCAAAGAGAUGAUGCCAAUACCAAGAGUCUUGCAUUUGAUGGUGUCUCCGUUACACUUUAUAAUAUAGCACUUGAUAAAGCGCAUGUAGUUCUAAGUGAUCAUGUCAAACGAGAUGUUCCUUCGUCGUGGGAUUCUGCUGCAUUGGCAAGGUUCAUUGAAAAAUAUGGAACCCAUGUUGUAGUCGGGGUGAAAAUAGGGGGAACCGAUAUAAUUUAUGCUAAGCAGCUGUAUUCGUCUCCUCUACAACCUUCUGAUGGGCCCCUGUAUUUGGUGAGCUUGUCCUUGGUCCUGAUAGGAAGUCGCAUACUUCUUUAAAGUAAUUGUUUGGCAAUCCAUUUACAGCACCUCUCCUCCCUCCCCAAAACAUUCCAACUUGAGGGAGAGACUAAUGGAAAUGUAUCUGAUGCCUCUUCAGAACGCAGGUAUUACGAAAAGGUUCAGUGGAAGAGUUUCUCUCAUAUUUGCACGGCUCCUGUAGAAUCCUACAAUGACAAUUCUGUUGUGACUUGUGCUCACUUUGAAGUGGGAGAAGCUGGUCUAAAAAAAGUUCUCUUCUUAAGACUUCAUUUCUCUAAAGUUGCCAAUGCAACACAAGUGAAAGCACCUGAAUGGGAUGGUUCGCCUGGCUUGACUCAGAAAUCCGGAAUAUGAUUAAAUUGUAUUUAUGCAACUCAGGUACAUAGAUACGAUCAACAAGGCAAGAUAUCUUGUAGAUGCUAAUGCAGGACAACUUCAAUAAUAAAGUUAACUGAUAGGAAGAUUCAGAAGAAGCUAAUACAGGACAACUUCAAUAAUAACGUUGUAGUAAUUUUUAGUCUUUGGUCAAGUUAAGAACUAUUGAAUCAGUUAAUGGCCAAAGUAGUGAUUAGUUUAUCAAACACCAGCUUAUGUAAAUUAAUCAGUAUGUAUUAAAUUAGCAUGUAUCUAAUCAGUUUAAAUAUUUUUAUU